rnacentral:rRNA from 1 species
GACGAACGCUGGCGGCGUGCUUAACACAUGCAAGUCGAACGGAAAGGCCUCAGCUUGCUGGGGUACUCGAGUGGCGAACGGGUGAGUAACACGUGGGUGAUCUGCCUUGCACUCUGGGAUAAGCUUGGGAAACUGGGUCUAAUACCGGAUAUGAACUGCCUUUAGUGUGGUGGUUGGAAAGUUUUUUCGGUGCAAGAUGAGCUCGCGGCCUAUCAGCUUGUUGGUGGGGUAAUGGCCUACCAAGGCGUCGACGGGUAGCCGGCCUGAGAGGGUGUACGGCCACAGUGGGACUGAGAUACGGCCCAGACGCCGACGGGAGGCAGCAGGGGGGAAUAUUGCACAAGGGGCGGAAGCCUGAUGCAGCGACGCCGCGUGGGGGAGGACGGCCUUCGGGUUGUAAACUCCUUUCGACAGGGACGAAGCUUUUUGUGACGGUACCUGUAGAAGAAGCACCGGCUAACUACGUG